CGUCAUACUAAUUAUGACUACAGUAGUUUCCACUUCCUAGUUCCUGAUUCUCAGACUUCAGGGAUCUUAAAAGUUAAAACCCCCAAAGAAAAUUGAAUCAUUAUUACUAAUUUUCCAUUUUCAUCUCAAUAAUGAGAAAUGCUCUUCG